CGGGGUAUAGCGCAGUUGGCUAGCGCACCUGCUUUGGGAGCAGGGGGUCGUCAGUUCGAGUCUGACUACCCCGA
rnacentral:tRNA from 1 species